UCCAUGGGGUCGCAGAGUUGGACACGACUGAGCAACUGAACUGAACUGGAGCACAGGUGCCCUCUUCUCUGACCUCUACUCCAUGCCAGUAAAAGGAAAGGAAGGGGCGACCUGCAACUGAGUGAAACAAGUCACUGCCCCCCACUGAAUAAAAACUGCAAAUGGAAGUUAUCUUCUCAAAUAAUUACAAGAUGCACAAGACCUAUAGACACGUGUUUUACAAUUCUCACCCUCAUCUGUAUGAUUUAAACAAAUUUUAAAUGUACUAGAUUCUAAAAACACAACUCCUACAUCACAAUUAUCCAUAUCCAAACAGCUGGAGCCAGCUACCCACUCCCUCUACCUGCACUACCAGGUUAUUCCAUUUCAUUCACCAUAUCUGUCUCCCUAUUCUAUCCCUGUGUCUCUUUUUGCUCCUGUCUACCCUCCUGCUGUUUCUCCCCUCCUAUUUUCUUCCCUCACACCUGUCCUGCCCCACUCUUCAACUUACUCCCCUCCCCUCUUGCACUCUUUUUCCCCAACCUGACUGCCCUCAAUCUCCAUUAUUUCUGGUCAUUUCUUCCCCUAACUCUCCUACACCUGACACAGGAGGGAAGGGAACAGGGCACAACCCUUAAAAGAAUGACCUAGUCAUUAAACCUAUGACAAAAUCCAGUUAUAACUAGUUAGACCCAAGAUGGCGGAAGAUUUGACUGCCAACAAACCUUGAACCUCAUUCUAUGCUCGUCGUGAUAUAUUAGUUAAAUGACAUGCUCAUAGGUGCUAUGACAGUUCUGACGCCAACUGUCAAAGGCCAGAAAGUGCGGGGUGGCCCAAUUCCCAGAAGUCUCCAUCUCUCCCUGAAAUAGCUUAAAUAAUUACUCCACUCUCUAGACUGUGAAAUUACUCAGCCCCUAAAAACUAACCACCUUGUAUUUCAGGGUCGCUUUCACCUUCUGAGACUGACUGCAGUCUGCCUAUGGAACUUGCAUUAUCACAGGGCCUCUCAUCUUCUGAGAUGACCUACUUUCUAGCUAUGGAAUGUGUGCGGGCACGCGCAUUGGCUCAGUACUGUCCGACUCUUUUGCGACCCCCAUGGACUUGUAGGCAGCCAGGCUCCAUGGGACUAUCCGGGCAAGAAUACUGGAGUGGGUUGCCAUGCCUUCCUCUAGGGGAUCUUUCCGACCCAGGGACUGAAUCCACGUCUCCUAAGGAAGUGCCUCCUGGGAGGCCCUGUGGAAUGUGUUUCUCUCUCAAUAAAUCUACUACUUACCUAUCA